CUCUCUCAUCUCUCUCACCCUCAGAGAACCCUCCAUCGUCUCCGUCGCACGCUGCGGUCUGAAAUCGCCCUAUGGCGGCGGCGGGCCUCUGGUGACUACCAAAAUAAAACCAUAGCUUCCCCUCCUUCUCUUCUUUCCAAAUCCACACCCUGUUUCUCUCGAAUCCCGCCUAAACUUCCCGAAUCUUGCUCAGAAGCUCUGAUUUCUCCGUCGUGUCCGGCGCCGUCACCAGCCAACCACCCUCAAAUUCACACCAAACAGUCACCACAUCCUCCUCAUCUCAUAUCUACCACCAGUUACCCCAAAGCCCGUUCGUGUCAAUUCCAAAUCUGAAAUUCCAAAAGAAAAAGAAAAAAACCUAAUCUGCUCCUCCUUUUGAUUUUCCAGUAGGUUCCAAGGCUUGAUUCGAGCCAAAAGUUAUGACAAUCGAUUGUUCUCACUAAGAAUAAUCGAUUAGCGUCAUUUUUGGCCUAUUUCAAAGCCCACCAGAUUCUGACCAAGGC
rnacentral:lncRNA from 1 species